AUCGAAGGUGAGGGUAUUUUCCUGGAAAUCUGUGUGUACCUGAGGUCUCCUGAAGUUUUAAUUUUGUCUGAGAAGUCCCAGGAAAUGUAACACAUUUGGUUUGAACACUUAAUUGUGAAAGCAAGACUGUAAAAACCAACUUCCAUGACUCCAUGUCGUUGUUGGCUGAAACUACAUUGAAAGUUCUGCUGCCAACUGCCUAACAAAGACUGUCUAACUUAUUCUCCAAGUCACGUUAAGACAGUGAAGAGAAACAGGCAGAGGGGAGCAUGCACCCAAAAUUUGCUUCCAAUCAAUUCAAAUGAGAAAGUGUCAGCCAGAAAAAAGGUGAAAAAAGGAAACAAUGAACUCUCCCUCCACAUCUGAACACCAUACAUAGACUAAGACAUUCCUAUUUCUGUGGGAGUAAUGCACCACUUGCUCUCCCUUUCACAAAUGUUGGUAGAUAGUGUUAUCAAAACAAGUUGGGUUUUUUUGUUUGGGUUUUUUGUACAUAUUUCAAUUAGAAUUGUGAGCCUUGAUUGCUGUGAAUUAUAACUUAAGAGUACUGAAAAAGGGAAGGUUUCACAAGGUCUCAGUGUAGCUGUUUUUUCACCUUAAAAGUAGAUAGCUGUACCCAUUUAUGUCUAAGAGGAAAAAACUCCUUGCUGCUGUUCUUGGCUUUCUGUGUAGGUAUACACAGGAAAAACAGUGGGUUACCUUUUAAGUCUAUCU
ensembl:lncRNA